UAGUAAUCACUCCCACAGGCCUUCAUCAGAAUAUUAUAGGUAGAAGUAGUAGGGAUAAAUGGAACCCUCGUAGAGAUAUGUCUGUGAGAGGAAGCAGAAGUGCGGGUGGGUAUACUAGCAGAAACCACAAGUGUGGGGGAGAGAUCAAUAUUGUUGUCCGUCUUGCCACCGUAAUCUUCACACUUGUCCUUCUGCAGUGCAUUUUCCUUCCAGGACCUGAA
rnacentral:misc_RNA from 1 species